rnacentral:rRNA from 1 species
CCUACGGGAGGCAGCAGUGGGGAAUUUUGGACAAUGGGCGCAAGCCUGAUCCAGCCAUGCCGCGUGUGGGAAGAAGGCCUUCGGGUUGUAAACCACUUUUGUCAGGGAAGAAACGGUCUGAACUAAUACUUUGGACUAAUGACGGUACCUGAAGAAUAAGCACCGGCUAACUACGUGCCAGCAGCCGCGGUAAUACGUAGGGUGCAAGCGUUAAUCGGAAUUACUGGGCGUAAAGCGUGCGCAGGCGGCUUUGCAAGACAGAUGUGAAAUCCCCGGGCUCAACCUGGGAACUGCAUUUGUGACUGCAUGGCUAGAGUACGGUAGAGGGGGAUGGAAUUCCGCGUGUAGCAGUGAAAUGCGUAGAUAUGCGGAGGAACACCGAUGGCGAAGGCAAUCCCCUGGACCUGUACUGACGCUCAUGCACGAAAGCGUGGGGAGCAAACAGGAUUAGAUACCCUGGUAGUCCACGCCCUAAACGAUGUCAACUGGUUGUUGGGAGGGUUUCUUCUCAGUAACGAAGCUAACGCGUGAAGUUGACCGCCUGGGGAGUACGGCCGCAAGGUUGAAACUUAAAUAGAAAUUACGG